UACGGAGGAUCCAAGCGUUAUCCGGAUUUAUUGGGUUUAAAGGGUGCGUAGGCGGCUUAUUAAGUCAGGGGUGAAAGACGGUGGCUCGACCAUCGCAGUGCCCUUGAUACUGAUGAGCUUGAAUACACUUGAGGUAGGCGGAAUGUGACAAGUAGCGGUGAAAUGCAUAGAUAUGUCACAGAACACCAAUUGCGAAGGCAGCUUACUAAGGUGCAAUUUACGCUGAGGCACGAAAGCGUGGGGAUCAAACAGG
rnacentral:rRNA from 1 species